rnacentral:other from 1 species
UCUACCCUGCUGUGUGCGUGCGAUAUCGGUCAAGUUUUGAGCCAACACCAAAACUUAGGGAACCCGGACUCCGGUUGUGGAGUGUAUGCCUCCAUUCUUAUUGGAUGAGUGGACACAUGAAGUAUCCGGGAGGGUACCCACUUCUUGAGCGAAGGUUCAAGAACACCCGGUAUCACGGCACGGUGGGGUAAGC